AAUCUAUGGAAAGCUAAGAUUCCUCUAAAAGUUAAAGUUUUCAUCUGGUUGGUCUUUAGGGACAGUGUGUUGACUAGAGAUAAUUUAGCUAAAAGAAAUUGGAAAGGUAAAGAUAAAAGUUGCAGUUUUUGUGAUCAUUCUGAAACCGUAGAGCAUCUUUUUUGCACUUGUGUGGUAGCCAAGUUUGUGUGGGGGGUUGUUAGGAAUGUCACUGGUAUUUAUGAUAUUCCUUGCAAAAUUAAAGAGUUCAGGAGCUGGAUAGAGAUGUUUCCUAAGAAGAUGAGACAAAUAGUAGCACUGGGUGUAGCGGUGGUAUUCUGGUCUUUAUGGAAAUCCAGAAACGCUGCCACUUUUCAUCAUAUUUACCCACAUGAUCCGAGUGUGCUGUUUUUUCAAAUAGCUUACUGGAUGUCGUACUGGGUUGGCUUAUAG
rnacentral:rRNA from 1 species